rnacentral:rRNA from 1 species
AUUGAACGCUGGCGGCAGGCCUAACACAUGCAAGUCGAACGAGUGGCGGACGGGUGAAUAAUGUCUGGGAAACUGCCUGAUGGAGGGGGAUAACUACUGGAAACGGUAGCUAAUACCGCAUACCAUCAGAUGGGCCCAGAUGGGAUUAGCUUGGUGGUGGGGUAACGGCACACCAAGGUGACGAUCCCUAGCUGGUCUGAGAGGAUGUCCAGGCACACUGAAACUGAUACACGGUCCAGUCUCCUACGGGAGGCAGCAGUGGGGAAUAUUGCACAAUGGGCGCAAGCCUGAUGCAGACAUUGCGCGUGUAUGAAGAAGGCCUUCGGUUUUUAAAGUACUUUCAGCGGGGAGGCGUUACCCGCAGAAGAAGCACCGGCUAACUCCGUGCCAGCAGCCGCGGUAAUAC